GAACAAGUGUGAUUGAGUGGUUUGAAUAUUGGACUAGAACUCCAAAACUCAGGGUUCAAAUUCCUUCUCGUCCA